AUUGAACGCUGGCGGCAGGCCUAACACAUGCAAGUCGAGCGGAUGAAGGGAGCUUGCUCCUGGAUUCAGCGGCGGACGGGUGAGUAAUGCCUAGGGAUCUGCCUGGUAGUGGGGGAUAACGUCCGGAAACGGGCGCUAAUACCGCAUACGUCCUGAGGGAGAAAGUGGGGGAUCUUCGGACCUCGCGCUAUCAGAUGAGCCUAGGUCGGAUUAGCUAGUUGGUGGGGUAAAGGCCUACCAAGGCGACGAUCCGUAACUGGUCUGAGAGGAUGAUCAGUCACACUGGAACUGAGACACGGUCCAGACUCCUACGGGAGGCAGCAGUGGGGAAUAUUGGACAAUGGGCGAAAGCCUGAUCCAGCCAUGCCGCGUGUGUGAAGAAGGUCUUCGGAUUGUAAAGCACUUUAAGUUGGGAGGAAGGGCAGUAAGUUAAUACCUUGCUGUUUUGACGUUACCAACAGAAUAAGCACCGGCUAACUUCGUG
rnacentral:rRNA from 1 species